GCCCUCGGUGCAAUAGCAGCCUAAGGGCACCUGAGCUUGGAAGCUAAGCAGGGUUGGGCCUGUCUGGGGCUUGGAUGUGGGACCGCCUGGGGAGACUGGGCUCUGGAGGCU
ensembl:rRNA 5S_rRNA 5S ribosomal RNA